rnacentral:rRNA from 1 species
UACGUAGGGUGCGAGCGUUAUUCGGAAUUACUGGGCGUAAAGCGUGCGCAGGCGGUUUUGUAAGUCACCUGUGAAAUCUCCUGGCUCAACUGGGAGCUUGCAGGCGAAACUGCCGUGCUGGAGUGUGGGAGAGGUGCGUGGAAUUCCCGGUGUAGCGGUGAAAUGCGUAGAGAUCCGGAGGAACACCGACGGCGUAAGCAGCGCCCUAAACGAGUACUGACGCUCAGGCACGAAAGCUGGGGGAGCAAACAGG